rnacentral:rRNA from 1 species
UACGUAGGGUGCAAGCGAUAAUCGGAAUUACUGGGCGUAAAGCGUGCGCAGGCGGCUUUGCAAGACAGAUGUGAAAUCCCCGGGCUUAACCUGGGAACUGCAUUUGUGACUGCAUGGCUGGAGUGCGGCAGAGGGGGAUGGAAUUCCGCGUGUAGCAGUGAAAUGCGUAGAUAUGCGGAGGAACACCGAUGGCGAAGGCAAUCCCCUGGGCCUGCACUGACGCUCAUGCACGAAAGCGUGGGGAGCAAACAGG